CUAAAAGCAAUGAUGAGAAGAGUAGUUGAAUAAGAGCUUCUGCAGAGACCUUCCAUAUGCUGAAAAGGAGGGAGUAUCAAGUUCAUUGAAACAAGUCUCGGAGCUGCACACAGGAGUUUUCUAAUAGAAUUGGAAGAGGAUGGUGUGACGGGAUCUCCCGUUAUUGAGAUAGAGUAUAAGCAUGCGAUAUUUUAGCUGCCGUACUUGAUAAGAUUUCUGUGGCGACACAGAAAUAAACUGGGGUGGCACCGCGAUUUUGGAUUCCAAAUCUCGCCCCCAAG
rnacentral:ncRNA from 1 species